GAGUAUAUGUAAAGUGAAUUGCUCAAUAAACAAGGAAGUAAAAUCCAUAAAUGAAUUCAAAUGUCUGGUAAUUUAAUUUAUCCAAGCUUGAAAGGUGUGAACCAUAAAUUUCGGAGUUAAAGCUCCCCCUUUCAUUUGGAAUUAUAUAAGCCUUCAUAUCAUGCAAUCAAUUGUUUGGCUUAUAUAUAUUUAAUGAUUUAGCUU
rnacentral:lncRNA from 1 species